AUUGAACGCUGGCGGCAUGCCUAACACAUGCAAGUCGAGCGAGCGUCGGACGGGUGAGUAAUGCCUGGGAACCUGCCUGAUGGAGGGGGAUAACUACUGGAAACGGCAGCUAAUACCGCAUACCAUCAAAUGUUCCCCGAUGGGAUUAGCUAGUGGGUGGGGUAAUGGCUCACAUAGGCGACGAUCCCUAGCUGGUCUGGGAGGAUGACGAGCACCAUUGGAACGGAGACAGGGGCCAGACUCCUACGGGAGGAGGCAGUGGGGAAUAUUGGACAAGGGGCGCAAGCUGAAUGCAGCAAUGCGGGGUGUGUAAGGAAGGCCUUCGGGUGGUAAAGCACGUUCAGCGGGGAGGCGUUACCCGCAGAAGAAGCAACGGCUAACUCCGUGCCAGCAGCCGCGGUAAUUC
rnacentral:rRNA from 1 species